CCUACGGGCGGCAGCAGUGAGGAAUAUUGGUCAAUGGACGAGAGUCUGAACCAGCCAAGUAGCGUGAAGGAUGACUGCUCUAUGGGUUGUAAACUUCUUUUAUAUGGGAAUAAAAUGUUCCACGUGUGGGAUUUUGUAUGUACCAUAUGAAUAAGGAUCGGCUAACUCCGUGCCAGCAGCCACGGUAAUACGGAGGAUCCGAGCGGUAUCCGGAUUUAUUGGGUUUAAAGGGAGCGUAGGUGGAUUGUUAAGUAAGUUGUGAAAGUUUGCGGCUCAACCGUAAAAUUGCAGAUGAAACUGGCAGUCUUGAGUACAGUAGAGGUGGGCGGAAUGCGUGGUGUAGCGGUGAAAUGCUUAGAGAUCACGAAGAACUCCGAUUGCGAAGGCAGUUCACUGGACUGCAGCUGACACUGAGGCACGAAAGUGUGGGUAUCAAACAGGAUUAGAUACCCGUGUAGUC
rnacentral:rRNA from 1 species